rnacentral:rRNA from 1 species
CAGCAGCCGCGGGAAUACGUAGGUCCCGGGCGUUGUCCGGAUUUAUCGGGCGUAAAGGGCUCGCAGGCGGUUUCUUAAGUCUGAUGUGAAAGCCCCCGGCUCAACCGGGGAGGGUCAUUGGAAACUGGGAAACUUGAGUGCAGAAGAGGAGAGUGGAAUUCCACGUGUAGCGGUGAAAUGCGUAGAGAUGUGGAGGAACACCAGUGGCGAAGGCGACUCUCUGGUCUGUAACUGACGCUGAGGAGCGAAAGCGUGGGGAGCAAACAGGAUUAGAUACACCAGUAGUCCCUGUCUCUUAUAC